rnacentral:lncRNA from 1 species
GUUUGCUCUAUGUACGUGUGUGUAUUAUUUACACAUUAAGCCUUUUAAAGACUUCAAUGAUGUGAACACGGAUAAAAAAAGUAGAUCUACUUGUUUUCAAGUUAUUUUUAAAACAAAGAUUUUGAAUGAUGGCAGAAGGAGGAUCCGAUGAUUUCACUUUAAUACAAUUUGGUUCGGACGUUGAAUAUGAAUACACGUGUACUCCGUGUGCAGAUGACGGGUGUAGAUACGCUGCAAUUUAUUAUUGCCGGGCAUGCACGCAAUGGCUGUGCUCGACUUGUACUAAAUACCACAAGCGGAUUUCUUCAUCAAAGAACCACCACCUGUUUACCAUAGAAGAAGUUCAGAAACAAGACAGCCAUAUACUUCCAUCUGUAGUUAAAGCAAAAUGUCCAAAGCAUCCAGAACGAGAAGUCGAGAUGUAUUGUGGCAAUCAUGAUAUGGUGUAUUGUGCUCUUUGUGUGGCUAAAGAUCAUAGAGCUUGCUGCCAGGUAGAAGAAGUAGCCGACAUUAUCAGCACGCACUUUAGUCAGUCUAAGUACGAAACAAUAAUUCAUGAACUAGCUGAAAUGCAAAAGUUAAAAGACUUGACAAUGUGUAUAAUGUUCAAGAUUAUAUAGAUUUUGGGUCUGGCCCUAUGGGUGUAUGUUGCAUAGGGGAAAACGAAGUUGCUGUCAAACUGAACAAGGACGAGAUGCAAGUGUUGUGAGUUGGUAAAACAAUGUCAGUUAUAAGGACAAUGUCUAUAGAAGGUGGGGGCUACUAUGGUAUUGCAUUUUGUACUAAUAAUAUAUGGGUAUGCGCUGGCAGCUAUGUAAAUGUAUAUAGUGGUACAGGAAUACUUCUUAAAAGAUUAGAAUGUGAUAAAUGUGAUUCAGAAAUAUUUGAGGGAGAAACUCAAAACAUAUUUGUAAGUGAUAACGAUAAUUCUGUAUAUAUUGCUGAUUACAGCGAACGUGUUCUAAAGUUUAACCAGUAUGGUGAACUGAAGGGUACACUAAGUGACACAAGUCUCGUAGGGACAUCUGCUGUGUGUAUUUCUGAGGAAGGAACAGUGUUUGUAGCUGCACAUGAAACGGGCAAUAUAGUUAUGUUUAGUAAAGACGGCGAAUCCCUCGGCAAAAUUAUUACAUCCAAGAAGGAAAUUGGCAAACCAGUCGCGUUAUGCUUUGAAAAAAGAACAGGGAACUUGAUAGUAGGAUGUGAAAACUCUGAUAACAUAAAAGUGUUACAGAAUACAAUGUUUGCAAGUUAGUGUUUACAUGUGCAAUAUGUAUCACACUACGGAGCUCCAGACUAGACUUAUGGUAGAGUCAUAAACGUUUAAAUUGCUUUAUAUCUAAAAGUUAUCUGUAAAUGGUCAUAAUAUUUUAAAAGUAAGUUUUCGAUUUUAAGAAACUGUAAUAACUUACGAAGACACAUUAUAUCGAGUGAAAUACACUUACAUCUUAAUCUAUUACAACUGAAGCAUGUCGUUUCUGCUUUUUUUUUGUUUUUGAGAUUGUCAGUUUCCACAUAGCUAUUUCCUCAAGUUAUUGUUUCCUGUCAACAGAUAAAUUGAUAUUUUGAAUUUACGAUUAACUGGCACUUUUUUUUGGUUUUCACGUUUCGUGUUACAAUGUGUAGGAAAAUGCCAUCUGGGUUCAUUCUAAAAUAAAGUAUUACACUUUAACAGACUCGAUCAAAUUUUCCUGGAUGAAUUUACGUUCAGAUCAUUUCUAAAAUGUUUUAUAGAUAGAAUAAAGCAAUGAACAUUAA